CUUCCAUGUAAAGAGCCUUCCUCAGGCUUCCAUCAGGAAAGGGAAUUCCUGUGACUUAGAAUAAACUGCUGACAGGAAUGCUAAGACUGAGCAAGGAUUAUAUGAAAAAUAUCUAAGGGUUUUCUUUUCCAAAAUCAAAACAUAGACCAUUCAUUUGAGUAGCAGGGGACUUCUGUCAUUCAUUGAAAGUGAUAGGAAAUGGUCCAUUGGACUCACAGGAAUACUGCUUCCUGAAAUCAAAGAGCUGGAGUAUGCAGAAGGCACUUUCCUUUCCAGCUCAGGUCUGGUCCUCUUACACCCUCAUCGAAGGCGGCCCCAGUGCUGAGGCUCUCUGCAGCCACAGACAGAGCAGAAGAGCCAAAGUCACUGACUUGGUGCCCCAGGAUGUGCUCAUCUGACACUGCCCGGUGUUCACCGUUAAGAGGCUGGCUUCAAGGAGCAGGGUUGUAAUUCUAAGGCCAGGCUGCAGCACUAUUUCUGAUCCACCUGAAACCAUGUCCUGUGCCAGGUGCUACAGUUACCAAGGUAGCCAAGAGACAGGCCCUGUCCUCUAGGAGAUGCAGUCUAACUGGGAAAAACUAGACCUCCUCUCAUCAUUCAUCCCAACAGUAGGCUCUGCUGUGAGCUCUCCAGGGGCACCAAUAACUGAGAGAAGAGCUUCACCGCCAAAACAGAGCAAGACAUGACAACAAACAAAUUAUAGCUACUGGAGGUAAUAAUUCAUUUUUAGGAAAAUUGCCUACCUUUCCUCACUGUCCUUGGAUUAGAUGGUCAACAUCGAAAGCAGAAAGAUGACCAAGAACCCUCUUCUGUCUACACUUUACUGUUUCUCCCUAAUAAAAUAUCUACCAAUGCAUACAAGACCCAAUUGCCAUCUUUAUCAAAGCAACAGAGGGGAAGCUGUUGCACAGCCUAACAUCCUUGGGGUAUGAUCUACCUCUUAGCCCACUUUUACCAGCGUGGCCACCCAAAGUGUGAACAUACAUGGUCGACUAAAGACGGCCACAAAUUCUUCGUACGUCCCCCAUAAGAGUGUCGUUUAUUAACUCUCCCCUUGCAUCUAGACGGGCUCUGUGACUUCCUAAAGAAUAGAAGUGACACUAUGCCAGUUCCAGGGCUAACCCUAAAGAAAGCCUGGACAUGUCCACCUUUGCUCUUUUGGGAGUCCUGAGUCAUGGUGCAAGUAAUCUGACUAUGCUGGUGGAGAGAUCUCAUGGACAGGAGAGGCCCUGAGACUACGUGGAGAGGGAGGGAGGCUCCGCCCUUCCAGCAUCCCAGUUCAGAUGACUCCAGUUCAAUUCAUCGUCUAACCACAGUCACAUGAGAGACUCCAAGUGACACAAGCAGAACUGCCCAGGCAAGCCCAGUCAACCUACAGAACCAAAUGAGAGACAAUAAAUUGGUGAUUGUUUUAGACCUAAGUUUGGGGAAUGUUCAUUACAAAACAAUAAAGAACAGAAACGAUAUACUUCUUGCAAAUCGGGAAUGGUCUUCGGAUCUCAAGAAGGUAGCCCCACCUAUUAGAAAUCUACCUCAUAUGAAAGAAAAUAACUAACACUUCCAGGUGACCGACCAG
ensembl:lncRNA